rfam:Brachypodium distachyon strain Bd21 chromosome 1, whole genome shotgun sequence.
CAGGGUACCCUUUGACCCUUUUUAGUUCAAACAAAUGAACUAAAUUUUUAAAAAGUUGUGCUAUUUUGAAAUUUUAGUUCAUUUGGUUGAACUAAAGAGGAUCAAAGGGUACCCUG